rfam:Schistosoma mattheei strain Denwood, Zambia genome assembly, scaffold: SMTD_scaffold0000284
AUCCAGCUGACGAGUCCCAAGUAGGACUAAACGCGCCUCCUUGAU